GAGCCUUUGAGCCAGAUCCCAGGGGAAUCAAGGGGAGCUUUGGUUCUUUGAUGGCAUCUGAGGAGCUUGGUUAAUUAAAAGGGCUUAACUUGACUUGUGUGGGCUCCAAACCUGCAGCAAUAAGGAGAUACUUUAGCCUAAAAGCACACAACACAGCCUCAAGUGAAUAGAAGAAUUCACAGCUCAGCAAACAACAUGUGAAUUAGAAAAGGUUCCCAUCCUGGCAGGUCCUUGCACAAGCUGGAAACAGAGACACUGGGAAGCUCAGGAGACUGAAGAGUGGGAAAAUGCUUCAGGCACAAACAACACAGUCUGUGGCGAGGGAAUGGGAGUGCAAAGAUCGCGGUGCUCGCCAGGAACUCGCUGAACGCUCAGAGAAGCACCGAGAGCCUGGGCACGGCCACGGGGGAAGGAGUGGCCGGGUCCCCUGGAACUCUGCCUUGCAGCAGCACCUCGCACAGGCAUUUCUCUCAGCAGAGGAGAGUGUCAGCAGGGAGGAGCAGCACAGCCCAGAGAAGGCAAAACGCCCGCCCGAGGUGAUCCAGCAGGACACGGAUUAGGCCGUGUGUGUUCCUGAUCAGCUGAAAACAAAUCCUCUUGUGCUGGAUCUCAGCCUCCCUCAUCCUUGUCCCCAUAUCCCUUGAAGGGUGACAGAUUCCCUGCCCAGGAGCAGCCCUUUAGAAAGUGGCUCUCGCAGGGACCUCUUGUUCUCCCUCCUGUCACAGCCCUGCGCGUGUUAAACCACCCGUGCGAGAUGCCAGACCUGCUCUACCUGCAGAGAUGUGCUCGUGUCUCCCAGAGGGAGCGGCUCAAGGUACCCCCACGGCACCUCAGAGCUGAGCUGCAGCUCGGGGCUAAGCCCUCGUGAGUGUCCUGUGUCUUCUGCUGACCCCGGCAUGGACAAUACAUGACAUUGAGCACUUAGUCCUGGGUUAAAUAAAGC